CAGCCGCCACGGUAAUACGGGGGGUGCAAGCGUUAAUCGGAAUUACUGGGCGUAAAGGGUGCGUAGGUGGUUGUGUUAGUUAUCUGUGAAAUCCCUGGGCUCAACCCGGGCAGGUCAGAUAAUACUGCAUAACUCGAGUAUGGGAGAGGGUAGUGGAAUUUCCGGUGUAGCGGUGAAAUGCGUAGAGAUCGGAAGGAACACCAGUGGCGAAGGCGGCUACCUGGCCUAAUACUGACACUGAGGCACGAAAGCGUGGGGAGCAAACAGGAUUAGAUACCCCUGUAGUCCCUGUCUCUUAUAC
rnacentral:rRNA from 1 species